rnacentral:rRNA from 1 species
GCUCGUGGAUCGAUGAAGACCGCAGCUAAAUGCGCGUCAGAAUGUGAACUGCAGGACACAUGAACACCGACAAGUUGAACGCAUAUUGCACCUCGUACAACAGUACGAGGUACACAUUUUUGAGUGCCUAUAUUUAACCACAUUCAACUAUACGUGUGUGCGCGUACCACUCCGGGUGGACAGGCGCACGGCCCCCCCCCGGGCAAGCACGUAUGCGGAGUGACGUUUUCCCGCGCGGUUCGCCCGCCACGGUAAAACGUUGAAGAUAGUCAGGCGCGUCGCCCCGCGUGGUCGACGUGGUUGAUGAAUACAUCCCAUAUGCCGCCACCAUCGGCUACGUUGUGUUCCAUCAGCGUAUGCCCCCUCCCGGGGUAUACCCUAUCUGCACUGCAUAUCAGUAGGCCUCAAAUAAUGUGUGACUACCCCCUAAAUUUAAGCA